rnacentral:rRNA from 1 species
GAUGAACGCUGGCGGCGUGCCUAAUACAUGCAAGUCGAGCGAACAGACGAGGAGCUUGCUCCUCUGACGUUAGCGGCGGACGGGUGAGUAACACGUGGAUAACCUACCUAUAAGACUGGGAUAACUUCGGGAAACCGGAGCUAAUACCGGAUAAUAUAUUGAACCGCAUGGUUCAAUAGUGAAAGACGGUUUUGCUGUCACUUAUAGAUGGAUCCGCGCCGCAUUAGCUAGUUGGUAAGGUAACGGCUUACCAAGGCAACGAUGCGUAGCCGACCUGAGAGGCUGAUCGGCCACCCUGGAACGGAGACACGGUCCAGACUACUAAGGGAGGCAGCAGUAGGGAAUCGUACGCAAUGGGCGAAAGCCUGACGGAGCAACGCCGCGUGAGUGAUGAAGGUCUUCGGAUCGUAAAACUCUGUUAUUAGGGAAGAACAAAUGUGUAAGUAACUAUGCACGUCUUGACGGUACCUAAUCAGAAAGCCACGGCUAACUACGUG